AUGGUGAACCUUCCUAAAACCCAUCGGACUUUCUGUCACAGUGUGGCACACACCAAUCCCACAAAGUGACACAGUAGAGGAAGGGCAAGGAUUCUCUGUAUGCCCAGGGAAAGCAGCAUGACAGGAAGCAGAGUGACUAUGGUGGGCAGACUAGGCUGAUUUUCCCGAAAAAGGGUAAAACUACAAAGACUGUGCUGAAGGUUGAGUGCGCUGAGCUCAACUGCAGAUCUAAGAGGAUGCUGGCUAUUAAGAGAUGCAAGCAUGCUGAACCCAGAGAAGAUAAGAAGAGAAAGGGACAAUUGAUCCAGUUGUAA
rnacentral:lncRNA from 1 species